rnacentral:rRNA from 1 species
ACGCUGGCGGCGUGCCUANUACAUGCAAGUCGANCGCAGGAAGCCGUCUGAACCCUUCGGGGGGACGACGGUGGAAUGAGCGGCGGACGGGUGAGUAACACGUAAAGAACCUGCCCAUAGGUCUGGGAUAACCACGAGAAAUCGGGGCUAAUACCGGAUGUGUCAUCGGACCGCAUGGUCCUGCUGAUGAAAGGCGCUCCGGCGUCGCCCAUGGAUGGCUUUGCGGUGCAUUAGCUAGUUGGUGGGGUAACGGCCCACCAAGGCGACGAUGCAUAGCCGACCUGAGAGGGUGNUCGGCCACACUGGGACUGAGACACGGCCCAGACUCCUACGGGAGNCAGCAGUAGGGAAUCUUCCACAAUGGACGAAAGUCUGAUGGAGCAACGCCGCGUGAACGAUGAAGGCUUUCGGGUCGUAAAGUUCUGUUGUAAGGGAAGAACAAGUGCCGCAGGCAAUGGCGGCAC